rnacentral:rRNA from 1 species
GAUGAACGCUGGCGGCGUGCCUAAUACAUGCAAGUCGAGCGAACAGACGAGGAGCUUGCUUCUCUGAAGUUAGCGGCGGACGGGUGAGUAACACGUGGAUAACCUACCUAUAAGACUGGGAUAACUUCGGGAAACCGGAGCUAAUACCGGAUAAUAUAUUGAACCGCAUGGUUCAAUAGUGAAAGACGGUUUUGCUGUCACUUAUAGAUGUAUCCGCGCUGCAUUAGCUAGUUGGUAAGGUAACGGCUUACCAAGGCAACGAUGCGUAGCCGACCUGAGAGGGUGAUCAGCCACACUGGAACUGAGACACGGUCCAGACUCCUACGGGAGGCAGCAGUAGGGAAUCUUCCGCCAUGGGCGAAAGCCUGACGGAGCAACGCCGCGUGAGUGAUGAAGGUCUUCGGAUCGUAAAACUCUGUUAUUAGGGAAGAACAUAUGUGUAAGUAACUGUGCACAUCUUGACGGUACCUAAUCAGAAAGCCACGGCUAACUACGUG